ACAAUUCUUAAAUCUCUCCACAACUCAAAAUGAACUAUAAAAAUAAAUCAAAAUUAGUUCCAAAAACUCUCCGAUCAUUCAACCUAAAUUGAAAAUAAAAAUGAAAAACAUUGAAGCUUCUGGAAAUAAAUAUAGACAACAAUUGAACCAUGAAUUUCAAAGCUGCGCGAGAAGGAGUCCAAUUCUCAACGAAAAUUUCACAAAACAAUGGAAGAAAAAAAAUUGAAAUCAAC
rnacentral:lncRNA from 1 species